UAUUAUCUCAUUUAAUUCUGAGCACCUCUG
rnacentral:piRNA from 1 species